rnacentral:rRNA from 1 species
UCAGGCCUAACACAUGCAAGUCGAACGAGAUUAUAGGGUAAGCUUGCUUACCUUAUAUGACAGUGGCGCACGGGUGCGUAACGCGUAUGCAAUCUACCUUAAUCAGGGGGAUAGCCUCUCGAAAGAGAGAUUAAUACCGCAUAACAUUAUGAUAUGGCAUCAUAUUAUAAUCAAACAUUUAUGGGAUUAAGAUGAGCAUGCGUGACAUUAGCUAGUUGGUGAGGUAACGGCUCACCAAGGCAACGAUGUCUAGGGGAUCUGAGAGGAUGACCCCCCACACUGGUACUGAGACACGGACCAGACUCCUACGGGAGGCAGCAGUAAGGAAUAUUGGUCAAUGGACGCAAGUCUGAACCAGCCAUGCCGCGUGCAGGAAGACGGCCCUAUGGGUUGUAAAGUGCUUUUAUACGGGAAUAAACCUUCUUUCGUGAAAGAAGCUGA